GAUGAAGAACGUAGCGAAAUGCGAUAACUAAUGUGAAUUGCAGAAUUCCGUGAAUCAUCGAAUCUUUGAACGCACAUUGCGCCCUCUGGUAUUCCGGGGGGCAUGCCUGUCCGAGCGUCAUUUGCAACCCUCAAGCCCGGCUUGUGUGAUGGGUGCCGUCCCCUACGGGACGCGCCCCGAAGGCAAUGGCGGCGUCGCGGUUAUCCGAUCAGCCAAAGUGUAUGGGGCUUUGUCACUCACUUUACGGCCCGGACCGGCGCCAGUCCGAAUCAAUCUUUUUUCUAAAGUUGACCUCGGAUCAGGUAGGGAUACCCGCUGAACUUAAGCAUAUCAAUAAGCGGAGGA
rnacentral:misc_RNA from 1 species